CAAAUUAUAGCAUAUAUAAUGCCUUUUAUUUACACUAAAAAGAAAAUAUCUAUAUUUAAUUUGA
rnacentral:tRNA from 1 species